rnacentral:precursor_RNA from 8 species
UGACGCAGUGCAGUGAUGCCAGCUGCCACAAACCCGUAGAUCCGAACUUGUGGUGUCUCUGUGCACAAGCUCGUGUCUAUAGGUAUGUGUCUGCGAGGUGAACGCAACAGUCUUCCC